AGGUAGGGGAAGACUAUAACAGAGACAAGAGAGAAUUGAGUGCAUUUAUUAGUGUCUAAUUUCUUUCCUAUCAUUGUGACAUUUUAUAGAGAAAUUUUGCCAUUCGAUCUUAACAAAAUUCUGAUUGCUGAUUUGUUCCAUUAUUGAGUUUUUAUUUUUGGAUUUGCUCAUCUUACCAAUUCCCAAUUUGUUGGGUCCUCAACUGAUUCAAAGCUCAUAUGCCACCUCAUAAAAAUUAUGCUCAUUCUCAACCAUGUGGUUUAGCUUCUCAUCUAGCACUUGGCCUAUUCCUUCCAUGAGUCUUUUGUUUAGUGUUAAUCCUCCUAGCUCUCAAGUAGGUGUUCAAGCUCUUUUGUUGCUGCAUUCCUUUGAUUAUUCAUGUUGUAUUUCUUUAAAGGUUGUUAACUUCGUCUUACUUGCAAUUUGACUUGUCUUGUUUAGUGAAUUCCAGUCUUAUGGUAUUGACAUCUAAUAGGAUGAGAUUCUACCUGCUAAACUAUUCAGUUCCUAGUAUAUAAUCAAAUUUUGUUAAUGGAAUAGUAGGCCUUAGACCUUGGUUUUUACUAGUAGGUACUUCAAUAGAGCCUUGAGCCUUAGUUGCUCCCCAUGAAUGAUAGUGUGUAAUUUGAUGGUGGUCAGAACUUCUAUUGUUGGAAUUUGUGUGACUUUAUGGAUGACAGACAAUCAGCCAGUGUUCAAGAGGUUCUUAUACUUUUUUGGUUUCAUCAACUCCGUCUAGAAUUAACAAGCACUUGCUCUUCUAGCUAUUUGAGAAUAGUUUCUGAAACUGAAGCACAGACCCUUAACAUGUCUUCUAUCUAUUUGGUAAGUGUUGGUAAGUGUAGGUGGUGAGGUUGUGGAUUGGACUGUGAUUAUAGUUGUGGAUCCCUGGGCGCCUAUGAUUUCUAAUUUCAGAGGCACACUAGACAGCCAAAUUCCUCAGAUCACGUUAGCAAUGUUUUGCCUUCAUUUACUCUUGUUGGUGACGUAAAAGUCUAAUGAUAAAGAAGCCUACCUCCUGGUUUGCCAUCAAUGGUUCAAUGUAAGCAAUAAGGCUUUAAAACUUGCAUAGGUAUUUGUUGAGUGUGAGCUCUUGUUGGAGCUUGUUCAAUUUUUGGAAUUCCUAUCCCUAUCCAUUGGUUUGAAAUAGUUGCCAGUGGCAAUGGUUCUUAACUUGUGCCUGUGAUAGUUCAAAUAAAUCUUUUUCAAAUUUCAAAAAUUAUACAUGUGCAUCUGCUUCUAGGUGGUUGGAGGCAAUAUUUAUCUUUUCAACCUUUUGGAUCCUUUGAUGUUUAAAUAAGUGGUCACACCUUGAUGGCCUGGGCCUUCUACUCCAUAAUUAAAGUCGAACCUUCUAGCUCAGAAUUGUGCACCUACCAUUGGAAUGCUCAUAAGGGGAGAAAUCCCUAGGAUAAGUUUUCCUGACCUUGGGUUGCUCACUCAAUCUUAGUUUACCAUUGUCCUUCCAGGACUUUUGAUCCACAUGGGGUCAUUCUAGUUGUCCUAUGCUUAAUCUGUGUGGUACACAUGGUGAUACAUUCUUCCAAUUCUGAUGCAUUUCACCCCUUUUAUGGUAUAUUUUUCCUUGACAUUCUUCAUGAACUUCAUCAUUCAUGGUUGGCUUUUGUGGGAAAUAUAAUUUUAUAACCAUAUAUGUUUCUAAAAAUUAGGCCGAAAUUAUUUCAUAAAUUAUAGGAUUAUGAUUAUGAUUUCGUAAAUUAUGGGAUAUAACAACAUAGCUACUUUUCAAGCUUUAUUAGUAUAAUUAGUUUUUAUUAGGAAAGUUGUUUAUUUUAUGAAGAAUAAGUCAUCCUAAUCUAUAGAAGGUUAGAAUCCUUUCUAUUCGAUAAGUUUUGAGUGAAUACAAUUUUUAAUUUUCGACGGCUUUGAUUAGCCAACCCCACCAAGUGGGAUAAGACUUGGUUGUUGUUGUCAGCUUUGAUUCCACCAAUGUUUAUUCUUUGAUUCCACCAAUGUUUAUUCAUGAAUGUUGAAUCAGGUCCAGAGAUGAUGUGGAAACAGAACUGGUAGUUUAUCUUCGUCUGGAUUUCCUGUUGUCUGGUUGGUCUAGUGGAAGGGGAAGUCAUAGACAGAUUUAUUGCAUCUAACGGCAAUGGGCAAUAGACAAGCACUGAGAGAAAUAGAGUUGCAGGCGAUGAGUUGAGAUGGGUGAUGACAGUGCAGUGACCCACAGAACACUCUCACAUACCCACUUAUUUAGGAAUAGCAACGGGAAGAUAGAGAAGGGGCAUAGCAAGAAGAGAAGUAAAUGUUCUUUUGGGCUCUUUGUAGUGGUACAUCAUGGCAUUUUAUAGGGAAAACUUACAAUUGUGUCUCAUUGAAAUUAUAGUUACUCUGAUUCUCUUUCAUGGUUGAGUUCUUCAGAUUAGUUCAUCCUGUUGAGUCCUUGUUACUGAUUGGUCAGGUCCUUUGCUGAUACAAAGCUCAUAUCAGUAGAUAUAAUAUUUUGUGAAAAAUAAGAUGACAUUAUUACAGAAAUGAUUUAAUGGAGUAUCUGGUUUCGUACAAUUAUUGAUGCCUUCAAAUAACAAUUGCAUGUAGAUACAAAUGACAUUUGUGAAUUAUUUAAUUGCAUGCAAAUACAAGUACUAUUUGAAUGGAUAUGCAAGGGCAUCCCUUUUUUAAAUGAAAAGAAGUAAAUGUUCUUUUGGGCUCUUUGUAGUGGUACAUCAUGGCAUUUUAUAGGGAAAACUUACAAUUGUGUCUCAUUGAAAUUAUAGUUACUCUGAUUCUCUUUCAUGGUCGAGUUCUUCAGAUUAGUUCAUCCUGUUGAGUCCUUGUUACUGAUUGGUCAGGUCCUUUGCUGAUACAAAGCUCAUAUCAGUAGAUAUAAUAUUUUGUGAAAAAUAAGAUGACAUUAUUACAGAAAUGAUUUAAUGGAGUAUCUGGUUUCGUACAAUUAUUGAUGCCUUCAAAUAACAAUUGCAUGCAGAUACAAAUGACAUUUGUGGCAUGAUAAGGUUGCUUCUCUAAUACUAAUUUUGCAUUUAGUAGGCUUAACCUAAAUUUAUUAUAUUUUGUUAAUAUCAUUUACUUAAAUAUAUUUUAAAAUUUACUUAAAUUUAUUGUAUUUUGUUAAUUAUAUUAAACUAAAUAAAAUUACAUGGGGUAGAAAUACAUUACUUUUUCUAUAUAUAUUUUUAGAAUAAUGAUAUAUUUUAACAUUUUUAUUCUGACAGACUGAAAUAUGCCAUGUAGCCACUUUGUGAGAAGUUGCAUAUACAAUUUCUUAAGGUUACAAAUGAGAUUAUAUACUGUCUGAAAUUAAGCCAAUACUGUCUCUUAUUCUCUUGUUUGUGUUUAUUGUGUUGCUUUAUCUAACAACCUUUUAUGUCUGAAACUACUUGUGCUUUUGUACCAAGAUGCGCAAUGAUGGGAUUAAUCUGUCAUUGAUCACCAAGUUUUAGUCUCAUGGAAUUUGAUCUUAUGUUGCAUAUCUCUCCUGUCAUUCUGUUGCUUGAUUAUUUUCUUACACUGAUGCGCAAUGAUGGGAUUAAUCUGUCAUUGAUCACCAAGUUUUAGUCUCAUGGAAUUUGAUCUUAUGUUGCAUAUCUCUCCUGUCAUUCUGUUGCUUGAUUAUUUUCUUACACUGAAAAAAACUCACGUCUUGCAGGUCAAGAAAUUAACUAACAGCGUAGAAUUCAUUUUGGAUACACUGCAAUUGUCGACUGUAGUAGAAAUGCAGGGUGACAAAAUAAGGAAGCGUCAUGAUUGGAUGAAUUGGAUUUUGCCACCAAGUGAGUCCCAGUUUGGUAAUGCUGAUAGUCAAUCUUCAGCAUUGCCAAACAUUGAUAAUCUUGCAGCCCGUUACCAGAACAGCAUGAGGAUCUCAAAUCGUAGUGAGAUUUUAUUUAGCAGAUCUGCAUCGGGGAAUUUGAAUAAUCAGAUACUAGUGACAGCAAAUCAUAACUGGGAUGAGAAUGGACAAGUCCUUCCUCUCACAGAUUCAGAUCAGAUCGCAUCUGGACGAAGCCUACUGAGGAACGACACAUUUUGAAGUACACUCUUCGUUCAAACAAUGAGUAUGGUUUGCCAUGCCAGGACUUUUAUGACUGAAAAAUAAGAAAAAUUCCAUAGAACGAGGAAUUUGAAUAGCAAAAGUAAACAAGAUACGAGCAAUACAAGCUAUAAUUAUGAGGUUCUUUGGUGAACAGGUGUUGCCACUGCUGGCGGUCUUUGGUCAUUAGCACAUUCUUAAGUUUCCUCGUUCUAUUUUUUUUUUUUUUUGGGUUCAAACCUUUUCAUCUUUUACUUUUUAAGGGCCUGAAUUGGUUUCAGUUGUGUUCCGAGGGGAUGGAACCGGUCGCUCCAAACUAGACUUUCAGUUUAAUAUUUCGUAUCUGUCUAUACUCUUUCAUCACGUAGAAACAUGCUGCAUAUUAUGUUUCUUCUUCUUUUAUUAUUAUUAUUUUAUUUAUGGC